GGGCGCGUAGCUCAAUUGGCAGAGCGGGCGGCUCAUAACCGCCCGGUUGGGGGUUCGAGUCCUCCCGCGCCCACCA
rnacentral:tRNA from 4 species